UACAGAGGCCCCAAGCAUUACCCGGAAUCACUGGGCGUAAAGGGUGUGUAGGCGGUCGUGUUAGUCCUUCGUUAAAGACCCAGGGCUUAACCCAGGGACAGCGGGGGAAACGGCACGGCUUAGAGGAUGCGAGAGGUAGAGGGAACUCAAGGUGUAGGGGUGAAAUCCGUUGAUAUCUUGGGGAACACCAAAUGCGAAGGCACUCUACUGGCGCACUCCUGACGCUGAGACACGAAAGCGUGGGUAGCGAACGGG
rnacentral:misc_RNA from 1 species